rnacentral:rRNA from 1 species
GAUGAACGCUGGCGGCGUGCCUAAUACAUGCAAGUCGAGCGAAUGGAUAAAGAGCUUGCUCUUAUGAAGUUAGCGGCGGACGGGUGAGUAACACGUGGGUAACCUGCCCAUAAGACUGGGAUAACUCCGGGAAACCGGGGCUAAUACCGGAUAACAUUUUGAACCGCAUGGUUCGAAAUUGAAAGGCGGCUUCGGCUGUCACUUAUGGAUGGACCUGCGUCGCAUUAGCUAGUUGGUGAGGUAACGGCUCACCAAGGCAACGAUGCGUAGCCGACCUGAGAGGGUGAUCGGCCACACUGGGACUGAGACACGGCCCAGACUCCUACGGGAGGCAGCAGUAGGGAAUCUUCCGCAAUGGACGAAAGUCUGACGGAGCAACGCCGCGUGAGUGAUGAAGGCUUUCGGGUCGUAAAACUCUGUUGUUAGGGAAGAACAAGUGCUAGUUGAAUAAGCUGGCACCUUGACGGUACCUAACCAGAAAGCCACGGCUAACUACGUGCCAGCAGCCGCCGCAG